rnacentral:rRNA from 1 species
UACAGAGGUGGCAAGCGUUGUUCGGAAUUACUGGGCGUAAAGGGCGCGUAGGCGGUUCCGUAAGUUCCGCGUGAAAUCCCCCGGCUCAACCGGGGAAUGGCGCGGAAAACUGUGGGGCUUGAGUUCGGGAGAGGGGAAGCGGAAUUCCGGGGUGUAGCGGUGAAAUGCGUAGAUAUCCGGAGGAACACCGGUGGCGAAGGCGGCUUCCUGGACCGACACUGACGCUGAGGCGCGAAAGCUAGGGGAGCAAACGGG